AGGGUWUCUUSUCAGUAACGWAGCUAACGCGUGAAGUUGACCGCCUGGGGAGUACGRSCGCAAGGUUUGAAACUWCAAAGGAAUUGACGGGGAMCCSCACAAGCGGUGGAUGAUGUGGUUUAAUUCGAUGCAACGRCGAAAAACCUUACCUACCCUUGAMAUGUCUGGAAUCCUGAAGAGAUUUGGGAGUGCUCGAAAGAGAGCCAGAACACAGGUGUUGCAUGGCUGUCGUCAGGUCGUGUCGUGAGAUGUUGGGUUAAGUCCCGCAACGAGCGCAACCCUUGUCAUUAGUUCAUUCGAAAGGGCACUCUAAUGAGACUGCCGGUGACAAACCGGAGGAAGGUGGGGAUGACGUCAGGUCAUCAUGGCCCUUAUGGGUAGGGCUACACACGUCAUACAAUGGCCGGGACAGAGGGCUGCCAACCCGCGAGGGGGAGCUAAUCCCAGAAAGCCGGUGGUAGUCCGGAUUGCAGUCUGCAACUCGACUGCGAGAAGUCGGAAUCGCUAGUAAUCGCGGAUCAGCUUGCCGCGGUGAAUACGUUCCCGUGUUUUGUACACACCGCCCGUCACGUUAAGGGAACCCUAGCUUUCGUUCGUCCC
rnacentral:rRNA from 1 species